GGGAUAACAGUCAGAAAUGGCUGCUAAUACCGCAUAAGCGCACAGAGCUGCAUGGCUCAGUGUGAAAAACUCCGGUGGUAUAAGAUGGACCCGCGUUGGAUUAGCUUGUUGAUGGGGUAACGGCCCACCAAGGCGACGAUCCAUAGCCGGCCUGAGAGGGUGAACGGCCACAUUGGGACUGAGACACGGCCCAGACUCCUACGGGAGGCAGCAGUGGGGAAUAUUGCACAAUGGGGGAAACCCUGAUGCAGCGACGCCGCGUGAAGGAAGAAGUAUCUCGGUAUGUAAACUUCUAUCAGCAGGGAAGAUAGUGACGGUACCUGACUAAGAAGCCCCGGCUAACUACGUGCCAGCAGCCGCGGUAAUACGUAGGGGGCAAGCGUUAUCCGGAUUUACUGGGUGUAAAGGGAGCGUAGACGGUGUGGCAAGUCUGAUGUGAAAGGCAUGGGCUCAACCUGUGGACUGCAUUGGAAACUGUCAUACUUGAGUGCCGGAGGGGUAAGCGGAAUUCCUAGUGUAGCGGUGAAAUGCGUAGAUAUUAGGAGGAACACCAGUGGCGAAGG
rnacentral:rRNA from 1 species